AGUAUCAAUAAAGGCAACAGUAGUAUACCGCUGUUCAAAACUCAUAAAUCCAGGGACAAAAAAACAAAAUCGGGGUAACAAACUAAAACCGAGGGAAACGCAUUAAAUAUAAGAGGAGAACAACGACAUAACACCGAAACGUAACACACACAGAAACGGACCAAGCAUCAGACAAAACACCACGAGAAUAACAAAUAUAACAAGAAAACCAAAUACAUGAAUUUGGGAUAGUCAAGUACCGUGCCACGUCUGAUCUCAAUAUCUCAAAAAUAAGAGAAAACACAAACGACUCAACGUUAAAAUGCAACACACACAGAAACGAACAAUAAUAUAACAAUGGCCA
rnacentral:lncRNA from 1 species